CUACGGGGGGCUGCAGUGAGGAAUAUUGCGCAAUGGGGGGAACCCUGAUGCAGCAACGCCGCGUGGAGGAUGACGCAUUUCGGUGUGUAAACUCCUUUUAUAUGUCAAGAAAAUGACGGUAGCAUAUGAAUAAGCACCGGCUAACUCCGUGCCAGCAGCCGCGGUAAUACGGAGGGUGCAAGCGUUACUCGGAAUCACUGGGCGUAAAGGACGCGUAGGCGGGUUGGAAAGUCAGGUGUGAAAUCCUACAGCUUAACUGUAGAACUGCACUUGAAACUUCUAAUCUAGAGUAUGGGAGGGGGAGAUGGAAUUAGUGGUGUAGGGGUAAAAUCCGUAGAUAUCACUAGGAAUACCUAAAGCGAAGGCGAUCUCCUGGAACAUUACUGACGCUAAGGCGUGAAAGCGUGGGGAGCGAACAGGAUUAUAUACCCUUGUAGUC
rnacentral:rRNA from 1 species